GACUCCAAAGUGGACUGGGAUCUGACUCUGUUUUCAGCCUCUCCAAAUAUACACUGAACUGUGGAACUGACAUCGCCUGACAUACUGCAUGCCUGGUUGAUAUUCUGGGGAUUUAAGUCUAUAAUUAUAUGAGUGCGUAAUACAAGCUCAUGCAGGUGGACGAACUUCAUGUCACCUUAGAAUACUGGCGUUUAUAUUCAACCACAUGUGACCCAGAUUGAUUUUUAGCCAUCGCUAAUGACAUGGCGCUAGCAGGGAUGGCAAUGUCGGUUGGUCUGCUGCUUUGGUCCGGACUGAAUCUCAACAUCUUUUGGAUGGGCUGCUAUGAAAAUUUCAACACUCAUGGUUCCCAGAUGUGAACAAUGCUGCACUGCCACCCACUGGCUAACAGCUGCCAUCACAACAUGAUCAUGACCAGAAGGUCAGACAGAUGCUGUAAACACAAGCCAGCGUCCCUGGAGGAUCGGCCCGGCUACACAAGCGGAAAACCACGCUCUUUGCACUCAAGAUAAACCGUUGCAUCAUUUCACAUCUGCAGUUGUUGGAAACGCGCACUGCCCCCCCCCCCACACCAAGGAUUUUGGCCACAGCCGAGCGACCACCUGGGAAUUCAUCAGUCAUUGUUAUGGCUGGCCGUCCAAUGACAUUGCAGCGUUUAAAUAAAUUAAAUGAGCCACAGAAAGAAAAAUAUGGUGCAUCAUCAAAUAUUAAGCUCAGCCUUACAGAUGAGUUGGGAGACAAGGUCGUGUUUUAUAACCAGCCGGCUGCAGAGCUAUAGUCCUCUCCUCUCUCUGGGAAUCUGGGAACACUGCCCAUAUGCUCCAUUAACACUGACUACAAGCUUUUUUUCAAGGAAAGAUAGGAACAGACUGUAAGCACUCAUGAUACAAUUCCAAGCUACAGCAUGUGUUGCAAUGCCAGCUUGUGACAAACAGACAUUUGACCAGCUGUGCAGCUUGUUAUUUAAAAAGAAUACUUAUAAAUGAUUUUCUCAUUUCUCCCAAGGGUCAUAAAUAAGGAUUCAGUAUGGCAAUAGAAGAAAACAAAACUUGAAUCUCAGAGGAAAGUUGAUUAGUUGUAAUGACAGUGAGGGUUUAAAGUCAAAUUAUUCCACAAAGUAUCUAUUAUCUCUAGUAUUUGUAGAAUUAUGACCCUUGUUCUUGAGCAACAAAGGAGUAAAUAGUGUGAUAUUAUUGAGCCACUGUCUGCAGAGGUUGGUGUAGGUGGGUUACAAGAAUGUUGGACUUCAACAUGGGAGAUCACUCAUUUUCUGCUUCCUGAACAGUUACUGUUGGUUUCUUUUAACACUGACCAUGAUCAUUCCCUUUCGUUUAACUCUAUACCUUUUGUGACCAUGCUCAUGAAGGUCCCCUAACCAUAACAAAGAAGUUAUUUUAACCUAAAUCAUAAUAUUCCCCUAACCAUAGUGUUAUAAUGUGAGAAAACUGUUUUACUUUUUCUACAGCAAUGUUGUUUUGUAAUGAUUUUGGAAGGCACUGACAGUGAUGUUCUCCUGGCAGUAGAAAAUGCCAUU